ACAGGAUGAGACAGCUUCUGCAACCGUGAGAAAAAUUCUGUCUUCACCGAUCAAGUUUGCAACAUGGGAUGCAUGAAGCUUAUUGAUCACCACUGGACCGGGAUUUGCAAGAACAAGCUGCACAUGAAACUUGGAGGUUUCAGACCCAAUAUAGAAGAAAUAGACACAAGUGGAGGAAAAGCACAUGGACAAAUGAGAUGGAGAGGUAGAUAUAACUUACUCCAUGAUGAGCUGAGUCAAAAACUGAGGUUAAUACAGAGAUUAUAUCAGUUUUCUUUGUGAACUUUUUUAUUCCGAGAAAACCUUUGAGCUGUUGGAGGGCAAUUGUGAUGGCAGCUCCACCCAUAAAACCAACAAUGGCAGCAUGAGAUAGGAAAUCAAUCAAGAAUCCCAACCUGAUAGCCAAA